rnacentral:misc_RNA from 1 species
AAGGUAUAAAGUUUUGAAGGAUGAUGAAAUUAUUUAUAAGAUAAAUGAGGAAAGAUUAAUAAUUUGUAUAUGUUUAUAUAAUAAUUAGUAGUAAAAUGUAAAGUAAAGAUAAUAUUUAUAGAAGAAAAUUUAAUUUGUAAUUUUAAAAAUUUUAGAAUUUAGUGGAAGUCGAUUUUUUGUUUUUUUUUAUUAUUUAUUUAU